GACGAACGCUGGCGGCGUGCUUAACACAUGCAAGUCGAACGGAGUGGCGAACGGGUGAGUAACACGUGGGUGACCUGCCCUGCACUUCGGGAUAAGCCUGGGAAAAUGGGUCUAAUACCGGAGAGUGUGGGAUGGGCCCGCGGCCAAUCAGCUUGGUGGUGGGGUAGUGGCCUACCAAGGCGACGACGGGUAGCCGGCCUGAGAGGGUGGACGGCCACAUUGGGACUGCGACACGGACCAGACUCCUACGGGAGGCAGCAGUGGGAAAUAUUGCACAAUGGGCGGAAGUCUGAUGCAGAGACGCCGCGUGGGUGAUGACGGCCUUCUGGUUGUAAACUCCUUUCACCGUAGACGCGGUAGAUGGAGAAGAAGCACCGGCUAACUACGUGCCAGCAGCCGCGGUAAUUC
rnacentral:rRNA from 1 species